GCAUAUCAAUAAGCGGAGGAAAAGAAACUAACAAGGAUUCCCCUAGUAACGGCGAGUGAAGAGGGAAGAGCUCAAAUUUUAAAUCUGCCUUGUUUCAAGGUCGAGUUGUAAUUUGAAGAAGCUGUUUUCUUGGGCUCGCGACCGGUAGAAGUUCUUUGGAACAGGACAUCAUAGAGGGUGACAAUCCCGUCUGCGACCGGUCGUGCGUUCAUCUACGAUACGCUUUCAAAGAGUCGAGUUGUUCGGGAUUGCAGCUCCAAAUGGGUGGUAAACAUCACCUAAGGCUAAAUAUUGGCGAGAGACCGAUAGCGAACAAGUACCGUGAGGGAAAGAUGAAGAGAACUUUGAAAAGAGAGUUAAACAGUACGUGAAAUUGUUGAAAGGGAAACGAUUGAAGUCAGUCGUGCUGGCGCGAAAUCAACCCUCUCGUCGAGAGGACACAUGGCGUGGCGAGCCUCAAAACCGUCACGAAGCGUGAACUCUUGGCGAAAAGGAGCACUUUCGUGUCCGCUGGUUAACAUCAAUUUCGAACGUCAUAAAAAGGCUGGAGGGAUGUGGCUCCUUCGGGAGUGUUAUAACCUUUAGCGGAAUGUGGUGGUCGGGAUUGAGGAUUGCAACGAAUUCCUUUAGGGCUGUUCCACCUGGCUUUUGUUUGGUAUCCUGGUGACGACAGCUUGCUGACGUUGUUAGGAUUCGCCUUUGAACAGGCUAGAGUGUGAGCAAAUUCGUUAAGGAUGUUGACGUAAUGGCUUUAAACGAC
rnacentral:rRNA from 1 species